rnacentral:tRNA from 1 species
GGGGCGGUGGUCUAGUUUGGUCCAAGAUCCCGGUCUCGGGAGCCGGAGAUCGCGGGUUCAAAAUGUUAUCUUGAUACAUGAGCGUCCCGCCCGCCCCA